UUACAUCGGUGACAGGUGGUGCAUGGUUGUCGUCAGCUCGUGUCGUGAGAUGUUGGGUUAAGUCCCGCAACGAGCGCAACCCCUAUUGUUAGUUGCCAUCAUUCAGUUGGGCACUCUAGCGAGACUGCCGGUAAUAAACCGGAGGAAGGUGGGGAUGACGUCAAAUCAUCAUGCCCCUUAUGACCUGGGCUACACACGUGCUACAAUGGUUGGUACAACGAGUUGCGAGUCGGUGACGGCGAGCUAAUCUCUUAAAGCCAAUCUCAGUUCGGAUUGUAGGCUGCAACUCGCCUACAUGAAGUCGGAAUCGCUAGUAAUCGCGGAUCAGCACGCCGCGGUGAAUACGUUCCCGGGCCUU
rnacentral:rRNA from 1 species